rnacentral:lncRNA from 1 species
GCCGGGGCGCGGCACCGGUUUUGAAAGCGAGGCUGCUGGGACUACUGGUGUAGCAAAGGUCCCCCGGUUCCGAACCCUACGGCUCAGUCGACGCGGCCGGAGACCGGCGAAUUGCCAUGGUAACCUCUCUUUGGGGCCCAGCCCUUGGAGCUUUCCCCGGGCCCAAAGGAGGAGCCGAUCGUGGCGCCGGGGGCCUGAGUUCAAGUUCGGUUUCCGCCUAGCGGAGUUGUGCGCGCCGUGAGGGGAGGGCCUUCCCCAUCCCCCUCCCCCGGCCUCGGUUUCCCAAACCCUUGUACAAAGAGGACGUUGGUUUUGGCUUUCUCUCCGGGGCCCCUUGAGGUCCAGGACCAGUUCCGGGGAGGAGGAAAGGCGGGGCAGUUCCGGGAGUGCCCGGGCCUCUGGCCGCGAUCGCGGGCAGGGGUAGGGGGUGGGCUGCGGGGGCCUUCCCCCACCCCACACGCACUUGGAGAGCCUAGGUGGCCUCGGUGCCCCUGGGAGAAGGGAGGGGCCCGGGAUUUCACCGAAUCUACCCGAGGGCCUAGAAACGGUCCUGCAGUAAAUCAGUCCCCCAGCAUUGCCUGAUCGCCGACCAUGAUUGUGCUUUCUCCCCCCCUCGGCAGCAAUCUCCCGGCGGCGGCGGCGGCGGCGGCCGGGCCCUGAGUCCCACCACCCCGGGCUACAGAGACAGCUUUGCCCAAGAGGCCGAGGUCAUUGCCGAGCAGCUGCAAGGUCACGGGGGAGCAGAUGUAUCCACCAUCGAGGCUGAGCUCCUACCUCCAGACUUGACAUCCUCUGCUUCUUUUCUGGACCCAAUGCCCAGUGGCCAGGGCCAGGGCCAGGAGAGUGCUAGCCCACUUGCUCCCCCUCCAGACCCCGGGCAGGAACCUUCCCUGCUCUCCCCCAGUGCCCUGGACCUUCCCUUUCUCAAAGGGUCACCAGCCCUGGAGGAGGCUGCCAGUCCUGCUGAGCUGGGCAGAUGGCAGCUUAAUGUGACCAUGGAGCUCCCUAGCCCAGCUCCUGAUGCCUCACAGGCUGGUGAGCCUUUGGCCUUGGCCCCCCAAAGUCCACCAGGCCCCCAGGUAAGCACUGAGCUCAACCAGACCUGUCUGCUUAGCUCAGGUGCUCCUGCCCAAGAAGUGGCCCAGCCAGAGAGUGGCCCUGCCCUAGAAGAAAGAGCCCGCAGGGAUCUCCCUGAUGUGGAUGUGCCCGGCAAUAAGACUUUUUCAUUUAGCCCGGCCACUGCCUUUGUGACCUCCACACCACGGGGUGCCACCGCCGCAGCUUCAGGGGAGCUGAAACUGCUCCAGGGGGUUUCUGGCUUCUCUUUCCCAGAGAGCCCCCCAGCUCAAGAAGCACCCAGGAUGGCCCAGGCAGAGCAGCCCAGUGCCAGACGCCCCCAGGGGCCUCUGGCCUCUGCUGGCAACCUCCCCAAGGCCACCCCAAAAAGUGGCCCUUUGGGGAAGGUGGGCCAGGAAAAACGGUCCCUGGGUGGGGCCAUUCUAGCUGUGUCCAGGAGGGGGUAUCAGGGCCAUCCUUUGCCAGGGCAGAAGAGAUGGUCAGCCAUCCCCUACAAAGGCUCCCGCUUGCCUGUCCCGCUGAAGGGCAGGAACAGUGAGGCGGGCAGGAUGAAGGAAGCAGAGCCGACAGCCAAAGCAGGGAAUAGCCCCCCCCCAGCAGCCAAGGUAGCUCAAGUGAGUAAGCUUCCCCCACCCCCCACGUGUCCUUGGGGGCAUUACACCAGCCUGUGUUGGGAGGCAGUGCCCAGUGGGAGGCUGCUGGGAGGUGGCCCUUCCCCAAGCCAGUUCCCUAGUGGAGAGGCCUGGAAGUUUGGACUCAGCUGGUUCCCGGCCCCCACCAGGUACAUCCAUCCAGCCUUGGCUUUUGCCCAACAGAGAGAGAGAGUGAGUGUGUGUGUUUGUUUUGUGCGCACGUGUGCGUGCCUUAGCUCCUCCACAGCCAAUCAGUGCCACCUCCAUUCUCCUUGCAUCAGAGAGGUUCCAGUGCUCGAGACCCCAAGUCCAGGGAUCCCCAGGCAGCUCGAAUUUCAAGGACUUUGGUCCCUACCCAGGGUGCCCAUUCCAGAGCCCCCUCUAAGACAGUUCUAGAUGUGCAGCCCCCCCAGCAGGACAGGAAGCUCCAACCUUCUCCGGGGCCCUCAUGCCCCCAGUGCCUUGUGCUGCAGAAGCAAGUAGAGGACCUCAAAAGCCAGCUAGCUGCCAUGCAGUGCCUUAGUGGGGAGCUCCAGGGCCUUCAAGGCAUGGCCCAGGAUCCAUCCACAGCAAAUACCAGGGGCACCACCUGA